rnacentral:rRNA from 1 species
CUACGGAGGGUGCAAGCGUUAUCCGGAAUCAUUGGGUUUAAAGGGUCCGUAGGCGGACUAUUAAGUCAGAGGUGAAAUCCCACAGCUCAACUGUGGAACUGCCUUUGAUACUGGUAGUCUUGAGUUAUAUGGAAGUAGAUAGAAUGUGUAGUGUAGCGGUGAAAUGCAUAGAUAUUACACAGAAUACCGAUUGCGAAGGCAGUCUACUACGUAUAUACUGACUCUAAGGGACGAAAGCGUGGGGAGCGAACAGGAUUAGAUACCCUAGUAGUCC